GAGAGGUGGUCGAGCUGGUUUAAGGCACCGGUCUUGAAAACCGACGAGGGUUCACGCCCUCCGCGGGUUCGAAUCCCGCUCUCUCC
rnacentral:tRNA from 1 species